UACCGAGACAGACGUGGUCUGACGAGAAGAGGAGGUCCCGCCUUCAGGUGUUUGGGACUCAACUGAGGGUGUAGGUUCCCGCCGUGGGGGCUGAACAGCCCUGAGGUGUGGGGAGACAAAGGGAUCCAAGUCGUGUCUUUCCUGCUUUGGAAAUCGGUGCCCCGGCUGUCUGGUGAGGCAGAGAGAUGGGCCCUAGGGGACCCUCCCGGCCCCAGUGAGUGUGGUGUCUUGCUCCAGGGUGUCCUGGAGCUACUUUCCUUUUAAAAACAGUGGAACAUCUGAGAAGGGUAUAGACUCUGAGCCCCAGAAACAGGAGCUGAUAGAGAAGAACCAAGUGUGAUGUUGAGUCUGCUAGACAGGUUCCUGGAGCAGACGUGAAGAGCUCGGGCCCCAUCAUUGGGACACUUCAGGCCUGCUUACUUGUGGAGAAGAUCCUACAUGAAGCAGAAACUCCACGUCACCUCAGAUGAACCACUCAGAUGACUAAAUGUUCAGUACCUCAGGAGUCAGUCCAUCUGUGUGGCCCCCACACCCAGGCCUCUUGGCCCAUGGGACAGGAUUUCAUCCCCACCAUCAUCUUCAUGUCCGGUGGGAAGCAUGACACAGCCCAGACUCCACAUCAGUUUGAUGUGAGUGAAGCAAUUUUUAUUGAGCUCCAGGAAGAAGAAAUAGUACAGAAGAGAAAGAAAAACGGGUCAGCUAGACAGAAGAUGGGAGUCAUCAAACGUGUCCCAGUAGCCAGACCCAUCAACUGAGUGCAGGACCUUGGGUGCUGGCUACCUGAUGGAAAGGAGGAAGGAAGAAACAUAAGGAGAACAAAUACACAUUCACAUCUCAACACUGUGACCUGCCAUAUAUGCCUUCCUUGCCAUGUGUAUUCUCUUGCAGAGCUACUAAAAUGGACACAGCCUUUUUUUUUUUUUUUUUUUUUUUUUUUAGUUUAUGUGCUGUAGGGAGCACUAACACAUUCUGCAGAUACUAUUUUCAACCUUUUUUUCCCUGAUGUCUUCAAAGGCUUAGUUUCCCAAGUGCCAUCUAGCUCAAUAAUUUCUCAGUAUAUCCUUAAUAUAAAAUAUCUUCCCAUUUGUCCAGGCCUCAUUUACUGGCUUUCAUUCACAAUUACUCAUGUAGGCCUAUGUAUCCAGAACCUAAUCUGUAGCAUCCUGGUGAAAGUUAGUUCUUCUGUGUCCAGAUUAUUACCCAUAUUCAUUGAUUGGCUUAAGGAUGCAUCCUAUUUUGAACUUGAUCUGAUUUUAUAUUGCAAGUACUGGUCAUGCAUAUAUUUUCCUUUCCUUUUAUUGUUUUUAAUUGCACAAGGAAGGUAAUUCAGUGGUGUUUUAAUAUGCCUGAUUGCUUCUGAAUGACCUGUGACUAAACUUUAACCCUGAAUCCCGCCGCUUAAGGGUUAUCCCCUCUGGAUGCUGUGGAGCUGAGCUCUGGGCCAUCUCAUGCAGGCCCUCACCCUCUCCCUCCCCUGUGGCAUUAACUGCUUGGCUAACUGGGAGGUUAAGCUGAUGAGCCUACUUUUAAUUUAAGGAGAUUUAUUUGGGAGAGUACAGAAAGAAAAAUGUUGUGAAACUGCUUUUAUCUAAAAUCCAGGAAAGUGGAGACCAUCUGUUGAAUGUAAGGUUUAUUUGAGAGACAUGCUUGCCCUUCCCCUAGGCAUUUAUAUUUUCCCUGAAGCUGCUAAAUGGGGACUGUCAUGUGGAUAGAUUCAUGAAUUAGUUUCAUAAUCACCUUAUUACCUAAUUCCCUUGGUUUAGGGAUGUUCUUCAGCUGACACUGACUCACUUGCCUAUGGAACACCUGGGGAUAUUUAUUUUUUCUCUUUAUCCUUUUCAUUUCAAAACUCAGGUGCUUUUGUUGUAGAUAAAAGUGGGAAAUGCAGGAAAGGUAAACAAAAAAAACUUAGAAACCCUUAAAAGUCUAUUACUCAUGGAUAAACACUUUUAAUAGUUGAAUAUAAUGUUUUUCAGAAAACAAGACCUACCUGUAUGUUGUCUACAAGAAACCCACUUUAAAUACAAAGAUUCAUAUAGAUUAAAUGUAAAUGGAUAAAGAAUAUUCUAACAUGCUAACACUAACCAAAAGAAAGCAGGAGUAGCUAUUUUCAUUUCAGACAGAGCAUACUUCAAAGCAAGGUAAGUUAUCAGAGAUAAGUAAAGGCAUUACACAAUGAUCAGAGAGGUCAAUUCUGCAAUACAUAACAAUCCUUCACGUUUAUGUGCUUAACAACAAAGUGUGAGGCAAAAAAUGUGAGGCAAAAACCAAUAGAAUUGUGAAGGGAAGAUUGAUCACAUGAUCAUAUCAAUACAUUUGACAAAAGCAUUUAAUAAAAUGUAUCACCCAUUCAUGAUUUAAAAAAAAACCUCGCAGUAAACUAGUAAUAGAGGAGAAAUUCCUCACAUCGAUAUUGAACAUCUACAAAACCCGACAGCUGGCAUCAUAUUAAUGAUCAGAAACUUAAAGUUUCCCCACUAAAAUUAGGUACAAAGUAAGGACGUCCUCUCUCACAACACCUUUUCAGCAUCAUACUAAAAGUUCUAGCUAAAUAAAAAGAAGAGGAAAUAAAAGUAUACAGAUUAGGAAGGAAGAAAUAUAAUGGUCUUUGUUCACAAAUGACAUUAUCAUCUAUGUAGAAAAUCCAAAAGAAUUAACAACAACAAAAAAUACCCCUUUGGAACAAAUAAACAGUUACAGCAAGGUUGCAGUAUACAAGGUUAAUAUGCCACUUUCCUAUAUACCAGCAAAAAAAAGUAGAGUUUGAAGUUGAAAACACAAUGCCAUUUACAUUAGCAUCCCCCAAAGUGAAGUACUUAGUUAUAAAUCUAACAAAAUAUCUAUAAGAUCUAUAUGAGGAAAACUAUAAAACUCUGAUGAGUGAAAUCAAAGAAGAACUAAAUAAAUAGAGAUAUUCCAGUUCAUGGACAGGAAGACUCAAUAUUGUCAAGAUGUCAGUUCUUCCCAACUUGGUCUGUGGGUUCAAUGCAGUACUCCUAAAAUCCCAGCAAGUUAUUUUGUGGAUGUUGAAAAAUUGAUCCUAAAAUUUACAGGGAGAGGCAAAAGACCCAAAAUAGCCAACACAAUAUUGAAGAAGAACAAAGUUGGAAGACUGACACUACCCAACUUCAAGACUUAUUAUAAAGCUAUAGUAAUCAAGACAGUGUGGUUUUGGCAGAAGAACAAAUAGAUCAGUGGAACAGAAUAAAGAGCAUAUAAAUAGACCCAUAUAAAUAUAGUAAACUGAUCUUCAACAAAGGAGCAAAGGCAAUAGAAUGGAGUGAAGAUACCACAAAUGGGGCUGAAACAACUGGGCAUCCACAUGCAAAAAAAAAAAAUGAAUCUAGACACACACUUUACACUCUUCACAAAAAAUAACUCAAAACACAGACCUAAAUGUGAAACAUAAAACUAUAAAACUUCUGGAAGAUAUAAGAGAAAAUCUAGACACCCUUGGUUAUGGCAAUGAUUUUAAGAUAUAAUAGCAAAGACACAAUCCAUGAAAGAAAUAAUUGAUAAGCUAGAAUUUAUGAAAAUUAGAAAAUUCUGCUCUGUGAAGGACAGUGUCAAUAGAAAGAGAAUACAAGUUAAAGACUGGGUGAAAAUAUUGCAAAAGACAUCUGAUAAAGGACAGUCAUCCAAAAUUUAUAAAGAAUUCUUAAAACUCAACAAUAAGAAAAUGAACAACCUAAUUUUAAAAAAUGAGACAAAGACCUUAACAGACAACUCAUCAAAGAAGAUAUACAGAUGGCAAAUAAGCAUAGGUAAAGAUGCUCCACAUCAUAUGUCAUCAGAGAAGUACAAAUUAAAACAACAGUGAAAUACCACUACACAUUUAUUAGAAUGGCUAAAAUUCAGAACACUGGCAACACCAAUUGCUAGGGAGGAUUUGGUGCAAAAGGAGCUCUCAUUUAUUGCUGAUGGGAAUGCAGAUUGGUUACAGCCACUUUGGAAGACAGGUUGGUGGUUUCUUACAAAACUAAACAUACUCUUACCACACAGUCCAGUAAUCACACUCCUUGGUGUUUACCCAAAAGAGUUCAAAAUUUAUGCCCACACAAAAACAUGCACACAGAUGUUUAUAGCAGCUUUGUUUAUAAUUGCUUAAACUUGGAAGCAAUAAGAUAUCCUUCAUUAGGUGAAUGGAUAAAUAAACUGUGGUACAUUCAUACACUGGAAUAUUAUUCAGUGUUAAAAAGAAAUAAUCUAUCAUACCUUGGAAAGACAUGGACAAACUUUAAAUGCAUAUUACUAAGUGAAAGAAGCCAACCAGAAAAAGGCUACAAUACCUUUUUGAAUUAGUGUUUUCAUAUGCUUUGGAUAAAUACGCAGAAGUGGGAUAGCUGGAUCAUGUGGUAGUUUUAUUUCUAAUUUAUUGAAGAAUCUCCAUACUGUUUUCCAUAGUGGCUGCACCGGUUUACAUUCCAACAUACACCAACAGUGUAUAAGGGUUACUUUUUCUGUACAUCUUUGCCAACACUUGUUAUUUCUUACCUUUUUUAUAAUAGCCAUUCUAAUAGUGUUCAUCGCAGCAUUGUUUACAAUAGCCAAGAUACAGAAACAACGUAAGCGCCCAUCAAUGGAUGAAUGGAUAAAGAAUAUGUAACACACACACACACACACACACACACACACACACACACACACACACGAAUACUACAUAGCCAUAAAAAAGUGAAAUCUUGCCAUUUGUGACAAUAUGGAUAGACCUUGAGGAUAAGUGAAAUAAGUCAUAUGAUAAAAGACAAAUACUGUAUGAUUUCACCCAUAUUUGGAAUAAAACAAACAAAUGAAAAAAACAAACCAGCAAAGGUAGAGAGGGGGAGGGUGAAAUAUGUAAAGGGGAUCAACCGUAUGGUGACAGUUGGAAACUAAGUUUUUGGUGGUGAGAACCGUGUGGUGUACACAGCAGUAGAAAUAUAAUGUUGUGCAUGAAACUUAUAUAAUGUUAUAAACCAAUGUUACCUCAAUAAAAAAAUAAAUUAAAAAAGAAAAAGUUACAUAUUGUAUGAUUCCAACUAUAUGACAUUCUGAAAAGAGCAAAACUAUGGAAACAGUGAAAAAAAGAUCAGUGGUUGCUAGGAUUUUCAAGGAGAGAGGAGGAGGAGGAAUAGGCAGAGCAUAGAGCACUUUUACAGCAGUGAAUGGGCCCUAAGGUAGACUGUGGACUUUGCCUGGUUAUGAUGUGUCCAUGCAGGUUCAUCCAUUGUAACAAAUAUAUCACUCUGCUGGAGGAUGUUGAUAAUGGGGGAGGCUACGCAUG